AAGACCUUGCACUUUUGGAGCGGCCGAUGUCUGAUUAGCUAGUUGGUGGGGUAAUGGCCUACCAAAGCUUCGAUCAGUAGCUGGUCUGAGAGGACGGCCAGCCACACUGGGACUGAGACACGGCCCAGACUCCUACGGGAGGCAGCAGUGGGGAAUUUUGGACAAUGGGCGCAAGCCUGAUCCAGCCAUGCCGCGUGAGUGAAGAAGGCCUUCGGGUUGUAAAGCUCUUUCAGCCGGGAAGAAAAGGUUGCGACUAAUAAUCGCAAUCCAUGACGGUACCGAAAGAAGAAGCACCGGCUAACUACGUGCCAGCAGCCGCGGUAAUACGUAGGGUGCGAGCGUUAAUCGGAAUUAUUGGGCGUAAAGGGUGCGCAGGCGGUUUUGUAAGUCAGAUGUGAAAUCCCCGGGCUUAACCUGGGAACU
rnacentral:rRNA from 1 species